rnacentral:tRNA from 1 species
AAGUAGGAAGCAAUAUUUUGCAAUCAGUUUCGACCUGAAAGUUAGGUUAAAACCCCUAUUUA